CAUGAAUGACCUUGGGGUAACUAGCAGCCGUCAAUCCGUCAUAUAGUGCCCCUAGCGGCCUGACGGUGGAAUAGCUAAAAACCUCAUUUUGAGCACCGUGGCACCGGCCAGCCUGACGAUGCAGAACAGAGAACACCUAAAACCGCAGAAGACGUCAGAAUUUUCUUUAGUCGUAACGACGUAACCUAGAAAAGUCGGUUAGGAUUUCAUUUAAGAAUGUGAUAAAAAGUUUAAGCAGUUUGUUUGUUUGAUCGCCAAAAUGUUCGUUGCGGUGUGUUCUUCGGUGUUCAUAUGGCGUUUCAAAGAAUUGUGAGUUUGUGACUAGAUGCCGCGCGUGCUAUCAGACUCAGUUCUUUUCAUCUGUGUUCCUUGAUGUUGUGACAUGAAUUUGUUCUUUUAAAUAAGUAGAAACAUGCAAAGAAUGCAGCUCUCUGUGAGUGUUUGUGAUUCUGGCUUACUUGCAACUCAAUUUACUCAUCCCCUUUGCUUCAUGUUGGUUGGGGUAAUCAAGUUGAUAUAGAUAGCUGUAAUUUUAGUGAGAAUGUGGAUCAUAAUGAAUUGCUAAUCAAUUAGUGUACUUCGUGAAGACGAGAUAUAAAUUUGGAGGUGAGAUUAUUAAUCUGUCGACGGGGUUCCGUGACCAAUGAAAUCAAACAAGUAAUCAAUUACGAAAUUGGGGAAACAUGGCGAAAGUAAUCAUGAAUUGGAGUUGUUUGCCAGACGUCAAUGGGGUAUCGAGCCGAUCCUCUCUUGAACUUGGAGAACCCACCAGGAAAAGAGGUAAAAUUAAACUAAGGUUUGCGCUUCAGAUCAAGAAUUGACAAACGUGCCAACCAUCAUCAGUUCGAAUCCAUCGUUAUCUAAAAAAGAAGCCUAUCUAUAAUUUACAAAAUUCAACAUCGAAAUCACUAUCCAAAGAAAAUUAAGCCACAGUGCAAAUCAAGCCAAGACGUUGCGACGUCAUCGGAGCUUCCUUUUGCCCCAUCAUCCUUGAUCAUUCUUUAGGCUUCGUUUUAACACAUUUUUUUCCAAUCGUCCUGAAUAUCCGAUCAAUCUGCCCUAUUAAUUUUUUGUUUACGAUAAUGUUACGAUUAUUGCCUGCCUUGACCGUGUUAACUGUACAUAAUCUGGUUGUGCUUACCUCUGCUGUUUGAUUCUUUUUGAAAAUUAAAUUAAUACGUGUAAUACAUUUAUAUACACCUUUA